GACGAACGCUGGCGGCGUGCUUAACACAUGCAAGUCGAACGGAAAGGCCCUGCCUUUGUGGGGUGCUCGAGUGGCGAACGGGUGAGUAACACGUGAGUAACCUGCCCUUGACUUUGGGAUAACUUCAGGAAACUGGGGCUAAUACCGGAUAGGAGCUCCUGCUGCAUGGUGGGGGUUGGAAAGUUUGGGCGGUUGGGGAUGGACUCGGGGCUUAUCAGCUUGUUGGUGGGGUAGUGGCUUACAAAGGCUUUGACGGGGAGCCGGCCUGAGAGGGUGACCGGCCACAUUGGGACUGAGAUACGGCCCAGACUCCUACGGGGGGCAGCAGUGGGGAAUAUUGCACAAUGGGCGGAAGCCUGAUGCAGCAACGCCGCGUGCGGGAUGACGGCCUUCGGGUUGUAAACCGCUUUCGCCUGUGACGAAGCGUGAGUGACGGUAAUGGGUAAAGAAGCACCGGCUAACUACGUG
rnacentral:rRNA from 1 species